AAUAUCAUUGGUUAAGCAAAUGUUAACUAAGAGAUUGGUAACUGACGCAGGUCUGACGCUCAACGUCAAGUACGUAACUCUGCUUCUCAAUUUUCUGACAAAGCCGCCAUCUUGGUGCUGCAGGAAAGCCGUUUGAGAUAUUGGUGGAAUUCAAACACUUUGUGAGAUGACAGAAUAUUGCUGAAGGAUCCUACAUGGAAGCUGGCUGAUUACACGGAGUGAUUCCUCUGGUGUGGUGUACCUCAGAGAAAUAAACACUGUUGCAAGAGCUGAGAAGAUGGCCAAGAUAUCCUUAUUGCUGGAUGGUAGCUCUGGUCGUAGUGGACCAUAUCUGCAAAUGCUUCUGAACAUUGACAUAAUUUCUAAAGAUGACUGAGAAUAUUACUGAAGGAUCCUACAUGGAAGCUGUCUGAUUACACUGAGUGAUUCCUCUGGUGUGGUGUACCUCAGAGAAAAUAAACACUGUUGCAAGAGCUCAGAAGAUAUCCUUAUUGCUGGAUGGUUGCUCUCUGGUCGUACUUGAGCCCCCUGGACCAUGUCUGCAAAUGCUUCUGAACAUUGACAGAAUUUCUAAAGGAUCGCUGAGGACUCCCCCUCCAUGCGUGACAUCUUUGAGAAAUUUCCACGCUUUCUGGAGAUGCCAAGUUUGACUGGAACCAACUUUGCAUCCCUCGGCACUGACACUGAGAAGGUUUCAAGGACCCCACUACUAGGAGGCGAGAGUUUGACACGGCAGUGUCAUCACUGCCAUGGAUGACAAUGUAACCAUUCCUGUUGCUGAUUGCCUGACUUGCGCAGUGACAAGCUUUUCAUGCUCUACUGGGUGUGUAACUUGGCAUAUCCACCACAGUUUAACUCUGUUUUUGCCUCUUUUGAAUAUGUGUACGAUAUAACCAUCUCAACCAAAAAGUGGGCCAAGGUACUGGAACAUUUCUCACUUCAAGUUGCUCUGUAGUCACUGGACAUUUUUUAAAACAUCUACGCAAACACCACCACUCCACACCAUGUGUAUUUUAAUUACUUCUGAUUCCACUGACAUGCAGACUACAUCCUAUGCAGAUUCAGGUAAUUUACCUGGUACUGGAGAAACAGCAUUGUAUGCCAUUCUAAGUGAUACUUGCCUCCUUGUUUUGCAAAAAUGUACUGUUCUUUGAAUAUAACUUAAAGUAAGAUCAUGUUGACUCUGAGGUUUUCUCCGGUUGUCAAGCACAACCUUAACGUUUUGUAAGUAAGUAAUAGUCACAGGAUAUGCAUGCAUUUGUAAUUUGAAUUUUCGUCGAAAACGGCUCACCAAGCAUAAAAUGUUACCUCUGCUUUUGAUUUUUCUUUUUUUUUUAAAUGUCCCUUAAUACCAGCCUGUCUUUUUGUUGUGUCCACACAACUUUACCAUCAUCAGUGUUGGGAAGGAACAGAUUGCUGUAAGUUACUGUAUCCCCAUCCUUUCAGAUCAGUGCUUUAAAGCCUUUUGAAAUUAAAUUGUUAAUAAACUUUGUGAAAACAAA